UACGUAGGGUGCAAGCGUUAAUCGGAAUUACUGGGCGUAAAGCGUGCGCAGGCGGUUCUAUAAGACAGAUGUGAAAUCCCCGGGCUCAACCUGGGAACUGCAUUUGUGACUGUAGAGCUGGAGUGCGGCAGAGGGGGAUGGAAUUCCGCGUGUAGCAGUGAAAUGCGUAGAUAUGCGGGAGAACACCGAUGGCGAAGGCAAUCCCCUGGGCCUGCACUGACGCUCAUGCACGAAAGCGUGGGGAGCAAACAGG
rnacentral:rRNA from 1 species